AACGAACGCUGGCGGCAUGCCUAACACAUGCAAGUCGAACGAACUCUUCGGAGUUAGUGGCGCACGGGUGCGUAACGCGUGGGAAUCUGCCCUUGGGUACGGAAUAACUCAGAGAAAUUUGUGCUAAUACCGUAUAAUGUCUUCAGACCAAAGAUUUAUCGCCCAAGGAUGAGCCCGCGUAAGAUUAGCUUGUUGGUGAG
rnacentral:rRNA from 1 species